rnacentral:rRNA from 1 species
UCAUUGGGUUUAAAGGGUGCGUAGGCGGUCAUAUAAGUCAGUGGUGAAAUACCCCAGCUUAACUGGAGAGGUGCCAUUGAUACUGUAUGACUUGAGUACAGUUGAGGUAGGCGGAAUUGACGGUGUAGCGGUGAAAUGCUUAGAUAUCGUCAAGAACACCGAUAGCGAAGGCAGCUUACUAGACUGUAACUGACGCUGAGGCACGAAAGUGUGGGGAUCAAACAGGAUUAGAUACCCUGGUAGUCCACACUGUAAACGAUGAUUACUCGAUGUUGGCGAUACACAGCCAGCGUCUUAGCGAAAGCGAUAAGUAAUCCACCUGGGGAGUACGCCCGCAAGGGUAAACUCAAAGGAAUGACGGGGGCCGCACAAGCGGGGAGCAUGUGGUUUAAUUCGAUGCUACGCGAGGAACCUUA